rnacentral:rRNA from 1 species
GCCCGCUCAGAAACUACAAAUAGAAUUAGACGGGGGCCCGGCACAAGCGGAGGAACAUGUGGUUUAAUUCGAUGAUACGCGAGGAACCUUACCUGGGCUAGAACGCAUUCGGAAUCAGGCCGAAAGGCCUGCGCCAGCGAUGGCCGCUUGCGAGGUGCUGCAUGGUUGUCGUCAGCUCGUGCCGUGAGGUGUCGGGUUAAGUCCCAUAACGAGCGCAACCCCUACUGCUAGUUGCCAGCGGGUCAUGCCGGGGACUCUAGCGGAACUGCCAGCGUAAACUGCGAGGAAGGUGGGGAUGACGUCAAAUCAGCACGGCCCUUACGUCCAGGGCUACACACGUGUUACAAUGGCCGGUACAGAGGGCAGCCACCCCGCGAGGGGGCGCGAAUCCCGAAAGCCGGUCCCAGUUCGGAUCGGAGUCUGCAACCCGACUCCGUGAAGCUGGAUUCGCUAGUAAUCGCGCAUCAGCCACGGCGCGGUGAAUACGUUCCCGGGCCUU